rnacentral:lncRNA from 1 species
UUUUCCAGCUGGGACUAAUUUCACUUUUCCAUCAAGACCUUUAUGCAGAAAAUAUUGAAUGAGGAAAUAUUCCCUCCGCAGGGAAUACCUCCAAGGACAGUAAUGGAAGAUGAUUAUCUGACAACAAGAGCAGUGACCACACGGUUCAGCUGUUUCCCAAAUGGAGAUUUGACCUUCAUGAUGAUCUCUGAGUGUGAUUUCAUUAAAGGAACCAGCGGGUUCCUUGUACUGUUUAACUGGAACGGUACAAGGGUGAAAAGUCUCCAGCUCUGCAGAACUGCUAACAGUAACCAGGUCAUGCAAGCCACAUCCAAGACAGAGGCGUACAGAGAAAUGUUUCCAGUCUUGGCUCUUCUACUAAUUAGCUGA